rfam:Ipomoea nil DNA, scaffold: scaffold0876, cultivar: Tokyo-kokei standard.
GGUCUUGUAACUCAGUUGGUUAGAGUGUUGGUCUUAUGAGCCGAAAGUCGUGGGUUCAAGCCCCACCAAGACCA